rnacentral:rRNA from 1 species
CACGUAGGGGACGAGCGUUGUCCGGAUUUAUUGGGCGUAAAGAGCGUGUAGGCGGCUGGAUAGGUCCGUUGUGAAAACUCGAGGCUCAACCUCGAGACGCCGAUGGAAACCAUCCAGCUAGAGUCCGGAAGAGGAGAGUGGAAUUCCCGGUGUAGCGGUGAAAUGCGCAGAUAUCGGGAAGAACACCCGUGGCUAAGGCGGCUCUCUAGUACGGUACUGACGCUGAGACGCGAAAGCGUGGGGAGCGAACAGG